CCGACGACCAAACCAUCCCCGCGAGAACGCGCAAAAUGAAAUUCGUAUAUUCGCGAAUCUGAUAGAGGGUGCCUUACCGCCAAUGGGGAUGCGAAGGUGCAUAGCCACGACGCACGGCGGAUCUGAAGUGAUCGAGCUGCGCCGACAAGAUAUUCCUUCCCCACCGCCUGUCGAUUUAGCCAUGUGAGGCCAAGGUCGCAUGCAGAGGACUCCCGCGAGCACCCGGAUUCCAGCAUGGAGUCCCAGGUAGCGGUGACACGAGGAUCAGCGCCGGCAGCUUGUUUCUCUCCCUCACUCUCUCUGGUUGCCACCCGCCAUAGAUACGCCAUGGACGAGCAUCCUGGCCAUGCCCGCGUUAGCGGGUGACGAAGGCUAGAGCUUCCCCGAGCGUACCUGCCACCCGCUCGAUCCCGUCGAUGGAGCCCGAUGCGAAUUCCCCAAUGGCGGCGGAUCUGCUCAACAAUGGUGGCGGCUCUCUGCGCAAUCUGAGGAAGCGGCUAGGGGAUAAGAAGGGGAGAGG
rnacentral:lncRNA from 7 species